rnacentral:tRNA from 1 species
GGUUGUGGCUCAGUGGUAGAGCGCUUGCCUUGCAUGUGUGAGGCACUGGGUUUGCUCUCUAGCAUCACAUAAAAAAAAAACUAAAUAAACAGGACUGGGGUCUUGGCUCAGCAGUAGGGCUUCGCCUAGCAUGUGUGAAGUCCUGGGUUUGAUCCUCAGCACCA